rnacentral:rRNA from 1 species
AACGAACGCUGGCGGCAUGCCUAACACAUGCAAGUCGAACGAGACCUUCGGGUCUAGUGGCGCACGGGUGCGUAACGCGUGGGAACCUGCCCUUAGGUUCGGAAUAACUCCCCGAAAGGGGUGCUAAUACCGGAUAAUGUCUUCGGACCAAAGAUUUAUCGCCUUUGGAUGGGCCCGCGUUGGAUUAGCUAGUUGGUAGGGUAAAAGCCUACCAAGGCGACGAUCCAUAGCUGGUCUGAGAGGAUGAUCAACCACACUGGGACUGAGACACGGCCCAGACUCCUACGGGAGGCAGCAGUGGGGAAUAUUGGACAAUGGGCGAAAGCCUGAUCCAGCAAUGCCGCGUGAGUGAUGAAGGCCUUAGGGUUGUAAAGCUCUUUUACCCGGGAUGAUAAUGACAGUACCGGGAGAAUAAGCUCCGGCUAACUCCGUG